rnacentral:rRNA from 1 species
UAGGGAAUCUUCCACAAUGGACGCAAGUCUGAUGGAGCAACGCCGCGUGAGUGAAGAAGGUUUUCGGACCGUAAAGCUCUGUUGUUGGUGAAGAAGGAUAGAGGUAGUAACUGGCCUUUAUUUGACGGUAAUCAACCAGAAAGUCACGGCUAACUACGUGCCAGCAGCCGCGGUAAUACGUAGGUGGCAAGCGUUGUCCGGAUUUAUUGGGCGUAAAGCGAGCGCAGGCGGAAGAAUAAGUCUGAUGUGAAAGCCCUCGGCUUAACCGAGGAAUUGCAUCGGAAACUGUUUUUCUUGAGUGCAGAAGAGGAGAGUAGAACUCCAUGUGUAGCGGUGGAAUGCGUAGAUAUAUGGAAGAAUACCAGUGGCGAAGGCGGCUCUCUGGUCUGCAACUGACGCUGAGGCUCGAAAGCAUGGGUAGCGAACAGGAUUAGAUACC